rnacentral:tRNA from 1 species
GGACAAUUAGCUCAGUUGGCAGAGCAAUGGAAUCAUAACCCAUGGGUCGCCAGUUCGAUUCUGGCAUUGUCCACCA